GGUUAAGCGAAUAAGCGUACACGGUGGAUGCCUAGGCAGUCAGAGGCGAUGAAGGACGUGCUAAUCUGCGAUAAGCGCCGGUAAGGUGAUAUGAACCGUUAUAACCGGCGAUUUCCGAAUGGGGAAACCCAGUGCAAUUCGUUGCACUAUCAUUACCUGAAUACAUAGGGUAAUGAAGCGAACCGGGAGAACUGAAACAUCUAAGUACCCCGAGGAAAAGAAAUCAAACGAGAUUCCCCCAGUAGCGGCGAGCGAACGGGGAGCAGCCCAGGACCUUAAUCAGCAUCAGUGUUAAGAGAACAGUCUGGAAAGGCUGGCCACAGCAGGUGAUAGCCCUGUAUCUGAAAGCACUGGUGUUGUGAGUCCGAUGAGUAAGGCGGGACACGUGUUAUCCUGUCUGAAUACGGGGGGACCAUCCUCCAAGGCUAAAUACUCCUGACUGACCGAUAGUGAACCAGUACCGUGAGGGAAAGGCGAAAAGAACCCCGGCGAGGGGAGUGAAAAAGAACCUGAAACCGUGUACGUACAAGCAGUGGGAGCACCUUUAUGGUGUGACUGCGUACCUUUUGUAUAAUGGGUCAGCGACUUAUAUUCUGUAGCAAGGUUAACCGGAUAGGGGAGCCGCAGGGAAACCGAGUCUUAACUGGGCGAAUUAGUUGCAGGGUAUAGACCCGAAACCCGGUGAUCUAGCCAUGGGCAGGUUGAAGGUUGGGUAACACUAACUGGAGGACCGAACCGACUAAUGUUGAAAAAUUAGCGGAUGACUUGUGGCUGGGGGUGAAAGGCCAAUCAAACCGGGAGAUAGCUGGUUCUCCCCGAAAGCUAUUUAGGUAGCGCCUCGUGAACUCAUCUCCGGGGGUAGAGCACUGUUUCGGCUAGGGGGUCAUCCCGACUUACCAACCCGAUGCAAACUGCGAAUACCGGAGAAUGUUAUCACGGGAGACACACGGCGGGUGCUAACGUUCGUCGUGAAGAGGGAAACAACCCAGACCGCCGGCUAAGGUCCCAAAGUCAUAAUUAAGUGGGAAACGAAGUGGGAAGGCUCAGACAGCCAGGAUGUUGGCUUAGAAGCAGCCAUCAUUUAAAGAAAGCGUAAUAGCUCACUGGUCGAGUCGGCCUGCGCGGAAGAUGUAACGGGGCUAAAUUAUGCACCGAAGCCGCGGCAGCGAUAUGUAAAUAUUGUUGGGUAGGGGAGCGUUCUGUAAGCCUGUGAAGGUGACCUGUGAGGGUUGCUGGAGGUAUCAGAAGUGCGAAUGCUGACAUAAGUAACGAUAAUGCGGGUGAAAAACCCGCACGCCGGAAGACCAAGGGUUCCUGUCCAACGUUAAUCGGGGCAGGGUGAGUCGACCCCUAAGGCGAGGCUGAAAAGCGUAGUCGAUGGGCAACGGGUUAAUAUUCCCGUACUGGUGGUAACUGCGAAGGGGGGACGGAGAAAGCUAAAUCAUCCGGGCGACGGUUGUCCCGGUUUAAGCGUGCAGGUGGACUGACCAGGCAAAUCCGGUCGGUUGUUAACACUGAGGCGUGACGACGAGCCAC
rnacentral:rRNA from 1 species